rnacentral:rRNA from 1 species
GAUGAACGCUGGCGGCGUGCCUAAUACGUGCAAGUCGAGCGAACAGACGAGGAGCUUGCUCCUCUGACGUUAGCGGCGGACGGGUGAGUAACACGUGGAUAACCUACCUAUAAGACUGGGAUAACUUCGGGAAACCGGAGCUAAUACCGGAUAAUAUAUUGAACCGCAUGGUUCAAUAGUGAAAGACGGUUUUGCUGUCACUUAUAGAUGGAUCCGCGCCGCAUUAGCUAGUUGGUAAGGUAACGGCUCACCAAGGCAACGAUGCGUAGCCGACCUGAGAGGGUGAUCGGCCACACUGGAACUGAGACACGGUCCAGACUCCUACGGGAGGCAGCAGUAGGGAAUCUUCCGCAAUGGGCGAAAGCCUGACGGAGCAACGCCGCGUGAGUGAUGAAGGUCUUCGGAUCGUAAAACUCUGUUAUUAGGGAAGAACAAAUGUGUAAGUAACUAUGCACGUCUUGACGGUACCUAAUCAGAAAGCCACGGCUAACUACGUG